CUUUUCUCCAGAGCAGCAUAAGCCAGGUACUAUGGAAUGUUGGGUGAGAUGACUUGAGGACCUACAAGGCCUGCCCCACAGUCUUCCAGCCUCCGACUCUCCAGCCCUCGGCGUGGAAGUCCCACUGCUUUUUUUUUCCCCCAUUCCUGUCUAGGGAACCUUCCCCAACCGUGUAGUGAAGAUGGGUGGAGCUGUCGCACCAGCUGUUAGCGUGCUUGGCUGAGAGGAGAGGAGGCAAGGAGGAGCAGAGUGAGGAGGGAGCGACCACCCAGCUUUCGUCGGUUUAUAGCAGUUCCUGACCCUAGGAGAAGGGAAAUGUAAAGGAAGACUCAGUUGACUUGGUGUGAAGUUUAAAUGCCCCUUGGAGACUUAGGGGUCGAGGACGGUGAGAUGGCUCAGUGGGUAGAUUCACUUGCCUCUAAGCCUGACAACCUAAGUUAAUAUCCUCCACCCACAUAUGGAAGGAAAGAACUGAUUUCCAAAAGCUACCCUCUGACUUCCACACAUAGACCAUGGCCUGUGCACCACCCCCUAAAAAUGUAAUAUAUUUUUUAAAAAAAGACAUGGGGACUUCCAUUCAGUGUCUCCCAAUGUUUGGGGAUUUCCUUUCCUUACUUCCUUACUCCCUAGCGGUACCCUAGAGGAGGCAGACUAACUACGGAGAAGUCAUUCUGUAGGCUGGUUGGUGGAACCUUCAGGACUCCUGGGAAGGCUCCAACGGG
rnacentral:lncRNA from 1 species